UGAGAACUGAAUUCCAAGGGUUGAGGUUUACCGACCAGCCCAUGGACCUCAGUUCUGGA
rnacentral:pre_miRNA from 1 species